AUGUCUGGCUGGUGUCCCACGUCUGUGCUCAUCAUUCUGAGCGCAUGUCCCCUAUGCCCACUCCCAUUGCCUUGUGCUGAUCUCGUGCCCAGCACCCUGCAGGGCGCCCCUGCGCCCACACGGAUACCCAGGUCCCGGGCUUCUGCCCCGCCUUUCUGUGCCAACCCCCGCCUGCCGACCUCCGGAGCUGUGCCCGACCUCUGGGGGCCCACAUUGUUUCCCACUCCCCGUGCUUCCGGGCCAUGUCCUUUGUUUCGAUGCCCACCCCAUACCCAGCACCUUCGAGCUCAUUCCCCUGCGCCCGCGGCGCCCGCCACCGCACGGCCGCGCCCUCCCCGCUGGGACAGCAGCGCGGGCCGGGCAGUUGGCGGGCCGCACGCGCGCUCCAGCUCGUUGCGCUGCGCUCCGUGCAGGACAAGCGGGCCGCGCCAGUACACGCUGCCCUGGCACAGGCGCGUGGCGAACGGACCCUCGGGCGCCACCCACGGCAGCACCCCGCACUUCAGGUGCGGCCACAGGUGCCGUGGCAGGUGCGCACGGAACAGCGGCUGCCAAAGCGGACCUACGCAGCGCGUGGUGGCGGCCCCAGCGGACUCAGAAGGCAGCGCUCGGCGGAGCCGCAAGGGCAGCCAGCCAUCUGCGGGGCGAGGAAGGAGGGCGGCCACCUUGGCGAGGUUUCCCUUCCUCACCCCCUCCACCACGGGUCAGGCGACCCACAGGUCCUCCUCGCCCUCCCCAUCAGUGAUGGCAGUGACUCUUGUAGUAGCAAUAGUAGUAGUAGCAACAGCAGCAGCACUACAUAACAGCUUCCAACAUAAACCACCCGUGGUCCAGCGCGGUAACCACAAGCAGCCUCACCGGCCCUGGAGAGCACUCCCAAGGAUGCCUCCCAUACACGAAGCCCUCUGCCAAGUCUAUCAGCAUCUAGAAGCAACAGAUUAGAUCUGCAGAGAACAAGAACAGAUCCUCGGAGCGCCGUCACGACUGAAAGAAAAGUGAGUCCACAGAGCGAGGUCCAUCCUCAGCAUGAGGUGAUGUGCAUGAGGUAAGAGCACACGCACAGCCACACACACGCAGCCCAGAGGCGUUCGCUUGAGCACGCUAGGGCGGCUGUCUGGGCGGAGGGACUAGAUCAAUAAUGAAAAAGCGAGGGGCUGCUUUGGAGCGGGUGAUAAGCGAAGGUCUCUUGGAGGAGGGGUGCUGGCUGAAGCCUGGAUAAAAAUGAAGACCGCAGCCUGAUGAAGAGCGGGGUGGGCAGGGUGCUCCAGGUUAAAGGAAGAGCACGUGCCAAGGGCCUGAGGUGGGAAGGAGAUGGAGCGAUUCAAGAAGGCGGGUGUAGGGAGGCCGUUAGGAGAUGUAUUGCUACGGGGCCACGGGGGAUUUACCUGCCCACUCAGUCCUGUCCUCAGUCUCCACGUCUAGUGGGACACAGGGACGCCGAAAGAGAAAGCCAGAGUUGGUGUUAAGUGCUGGGGCGAGCCCUUCUGAGGUUGGAUUUUGCUGUCUGUGAGCACCGUCUACAGGUGUCUGUAAUACGUAACCUCCCGUAAGGUUGGCUGCAGUAUGCGAAGUGGUUGGCAUGGUCAUUGGCAUACGGCCAGUCCCUAUUUAUUGCAGCACUGUACUGAGGAUACUGUAGUUCAAGGUAGCACAGGCAAGGGCACAGGGUACCAACGGUGACAAGAGGGACCUUUGUUUUCUGCACUGCUGAGUUCCAAAGCAGCUAGAGAGGUGCCUUGUAGCCGAGAAGGGAGGGGAGCUUGUGGCUUUCCUGGUAGGAGCAGAAGCCCAGCCUUGGAGGUUGCAAGGUGCAUUGGUGGGAGGGGGAGGGGGCUGUCGAGCAGCCUGGUUGCCGGGGGGGCUGGGUGUGUGAGGCUGAGGGCGAGUGUGUGUCAGUUCUCAUUACCCACAGUGGCUGCGCCCCAUCGAGUCUCCACAAACGCGGAGCUGGUGAACACGGAGCCGUGGCGCCCAGGAGCAAGGCUCGGCUGAGGGCUUUCAAGCUCAGUCUCCGGUAGGGAAACAGUCCCACCGUCUUCAGUACAGAACCCUGCGACGCAUCGUGUUUUUAGUCCAGGGCGCUAUUUAUUUAAUGUGUCCACAUGAUUCAUUAACAGUGAACGCCUGGCUACCCUCACUGUGACCUACACCUAACUUCCCUAACGUGGAUUUUCUCGGUAAGCCACAUCGCAGCCUUCCUGGGAGUCUUUUUGAAUAGUAAAGUCACCAACAAGCAAAAGAAAACUAGUGAAAAUGUGACACUUAUUGGACUACAAAGGGGACACUUGUUUGCGGAAUGAGGGCAGAAAAAUGAAGGCAGAGGGUUGCCUUGAUUGACCUCACUCUGAAUGUUCCCAGUGGUGAAUGCGCCCCAUAGAGCUUAGUACGCAUUUAUGAAUGGGUGCAGCAAUGGCUCAGGGACUGAGCUGGGGGUUACAACUAAUGUUAGCGGGCAGCAGAAUUUGCGAAUGUAGAAGCCACGAGUAAUGGGGCUCAGCUGCCUGUGCAAGAAGAGACAGGCUGAAGACAGAGCAGGAGUGUCUCCGAGGCCACGCUUUGUCCCAUGUUAAGGGCCCCAGGAAUCAGGUGUGUGUGUGUGCCAAUGGCGGAUCCCGGGUGGGUCGGAGCGGCCCCCAGAACUUCCUUCCUCUGAAUGACAGCCUACAGCUGCUAAGGGACUGGCCACGUAGCCACCCAUUCAACACAUAUUGAGCACCUACUGUUGCCAGGUCCUGUGUUGGUGUCACCACCCUCCAGCAGCUCAUGUCUGCAGGAGACAGACUCGUACCCAGCACGGAGAAUGUACAGAGAAAGAUGUUCCAACGGGGGAAGCAGGAGUCAGGGACGGCUUGGGAGAAGCACCGAGUUGAAGCUUAAUAAAUGCUUUCGACCAAUGAAUGUGUGACGGACG
rnacentral:lncRNA from 1 species